GAAACUUUGGAAUAUUACUAAUUUUGUGAUGCUCUUCAGUCAUGCUAUGAUGGAAUUUUGUCUGGAGUUGUUGAGAUCAAAAUUUUGGUUAAUUGGGGAAUGGUCCAUUGUCAACACGUCUUCUAUGAAGGGCUGUUAACAUGAUCCUGCUUCGCUGGGGUGAGGGAUAAUUUUGACGUAUUGAAAUAAGUCACGGUUCAUGAUUCAGCAAAACUGUAUUAUUUUCCUAGUGAUAGACAAUCUCGUACCCAGGGAUCAUGUAAACAUCCCCUACGUUGACCGCCAGGUUAGCACUAUUUUCCAUCCAGCAAACUGACCUGACAUCAUUUUCGGAAGAUGGAAGAGGUGUUAUAUGGCUAUGUAACUAACCCAAACCCUACCCCUACUCUAACCCUAACAGCAACCCUAACUGUAACCUUAACCAAAUUAAUAACAUAAAUCCAAAAAGAAACAACUUUAGAAAAUCGCUAGGGCGGUUUGCUGGAUGGAAAAUAGUGCUAACCUGGCCACCAUCGUCUGCCCCAUAAUGCUUGCUGAAUUCACAUACUGUACAUACAUGUAUGCUCUAGUUAGUGUAAAUAAACGAUUUGAAAAAAUUAGACUUCAAAAAUAUGUUACAUGUUAGCC